rnacentral:rRNA from 1 species
AUGACGAACAGCGUCGUCAAGCUCGACCUACUCCGGACCAACGUCGCCGUGAAGAAGAGGAACACCAACCUGGCUUUUCUGAUGGGCGGGGCAGACAUACUCCAGAGCAAUGACGAGCAGCUCAAGGCAUGGUACCUAGCGGAGCGCGGCCUCAUCCUGAACCAGCUGCCGUCGACGGCGCCACCAACUCCCACGCCCACGCCGACGACACCGCCAAGCCCAAGCGAGGAUGCCUCCACGACGCCCAGCAGCACAGAGGCCGCGCCGACGCCGCCUAGCACUGAAGCAGCUCCGACAUCGUCAAGCCCGCGCACACUGACUACGCCGACGCCGGAGGCCGACCCCGCCGUUUGA